GCCCAGACUCCUACGGGAGGCAGCAGUGGGGAAUAUUGCACAAUGGGGGAGACCCUGAUGCAGCGACGCCGCGUGAGUGAAGAAGUAUUUCGGUAUGUAAAGCUCUAUCAGCAGGGAAGAAAUAGCGACCUUUGGGUCGCCAGACGGUACCUGACUAAGAAGCCCCGGCUAACUACGUGCCAGCAGCCGCGGUAAUACGUAGGGGGCAAGCGUUAUCCGGAUUUACUGGGUGUAAAGGGAGCGUAGACGGCAGCACAAGUCUGAAGUGAAAUGCCGGGGCUUAACCCCGGAACUGCUCUUGGAACUGCAUGGCUGGAGUACAGGAGGGGCAGGCGGAAUUCCUAGUGUAGCGGUGAAAUGCGUAGAUAUUAGGAGGAACACCGGUGGCGAAGGCGGCCUGCUGGACUGUGACUGACGUUGAGGCCCGAAGGCGUGGGGAGCAAACAGGAUUAGAUACCCUGGUAU
rnacentral:rRNA from 1 species